rnacentral:rRNA from 1 species
CCUGCGGAAGGAUCAUUACCGAGUGCGGGCUGCCUCCGGGCGCCCAACCUCCCACCCGUGACUACCUAACACUGUUGCUUCGGCGGGGAGCCCCCCAGGGGCGAGCCGCCGGGGACCACCGAACUUCAUGCCUGAGAGUGAUGCAGUCUGAGCCUGAAUACAAAUCAGUCAAAACUUUCAACAAUGGAUCUCUUGGUUCCGGCAUCGAUGAAGAACGCAGCGAACUGCGAUAAGUAAUGUGAAUUGCAGAAUUCAGUGAAUCAUCGAGUCUUUGAACGCACAUUGCGCCCCCUGGCAUUCCGGGGGGCAUGCCUGUCCGAGCGUCAUUGCUGCCCUCAAGCCCGGCUUGUGUGUUGGGUCGUCGUCCUCCCCCGGGGGACGGGCCCGAAAGGCAGCGGCGGCACCGUGUCCGGUCCUCGAGCGUAUGGGGCUUUGUCACCCGCUCGAUUAGGGCCGGCUCGGGCGCCAGCCGGCGUCUUCCAACUUUAUUUUUCUCAGGUUGACCUCGGAUCAGGUAGGGAUACCCGCUGAACUUAAGCAUA